AAGUCGAACGAAACACCUUAUUUGAUUUUCUUCGGAACUGAAGAUUUGGUGAUUGAGUGGCGGACGGGUGAGUAACGCGUGGGUAACCUACCCUGUACAGGGGGAUAACAGUCAGAAAUGACUGCUAAUACCGCAUAAGACCACAGCACCGCAUGGUGCAGGGGUAAAAACUCCGGUGGUACAGGAUGGACCCGCGUCUGAUUAGCUGGUUGGUGAGGUAACGGCUCACCAAGGCGACGAUCAGUAGCCGGCUUGAGAGAGUGAACGGCCACAUUGGGACUGAGACACGGCCCAAACUCCUACGGGAGGCAGCAGUGGGGAAUAUUGCACAAUGGGGGAAACCCUGAUGCAGCGACGCCGCGUGAGUGAAGAAGUAUCUCGGUAUGUAAAGCUCUAUCAGCAGGGAAGAAAAUGACGGUACCUGACUAAGAAGCCCCGGCUAACUACGUGCCAGCAGCCGCGGUAAUACGUAGGGGGCAAGCGUUAUCCGGAAUUACUGGGUGUAAAGGGUGCGUAGGUGGUAUGGCAAGUCAGAAGUGAAAACCCAGGGCUUAACUCUGGGACUGCUUUUGAAACUGUCAGACUGGAGUGCAGGAGAGGUAAGCGGAAUUCCUAGUGUAGCGGUGAAAUGCGUAGAUAUUAGGAGGAACAUCAGUGGCGAAGGCGGCUUA
rnacentral:rRNA from 1 species